GAUUAACGCUAGCGGCAGGCAUAAUACAUGCAAGUUGAACGGCAGCACAGGUAGCAAUACUGGGUGGCGAGUGGCGCACGGGUGCGUAACACGUAUGCAACCUACCCUAUACAGGCGAAUAACCUUUAGAAAUGAGGGCUAAUACGCCGUAGUAUUACAGAUGGGCAUCUAUUUGUAAUUAAAGAUUUAUCGGUAUAGGAUGGGCAUGCGUCCCAUUAGUUAGUUGGUAAGGUAACGGCUUACCAAGACGAUGAUGGGUAGGGGAUCUGAGAGGACUUACCCCCACACUGGUACUGAGACACGGACCAGACUCCUACGGGAGGCAGCAGUAAGGAAUAUUGGGCAAUGGCCGCGAGGCUGACCCAGCCAUGCCGCGUGCAGGAAGACGGCCUUAUGGGUGGUAAACUGCUUUUAUACGGGAAUAAUAGAGUGUACGCGUACAUUUAUGCAAGUAUCGUAUGAAUAAGCAUCGGCUAACUCCGUG
rnacentral:rRNA from 1 species